GGACUAUGGGCCCUGUGAUAACCCAUGUUCAAAAGUACUGUUUCUGCCCCUUGGACUUUUAACUGGAACAGAUUCAAACAUGUGGCGGCGGCCAUCUUAAAUUGUCCAGCGGUGUUUUGUCGUCGAGUGUAUGGAACUGUUUUGGGCAUGGGACCAUGUGCACUGUGGGGCAAAAAUAAGACUUUCAGGAAAUUCCUGAACCCC
rnacentral:lncRNA from 1 species